rnacentral:misc_RNA from 1 species
AAGUCGUAACAAGGUUUCCGUAGGUGAACCUGCGGAAGGAUCAUUACCGAGAUAGGGUCCCUCCGGGCCCGAACCUCCCACCCAUUGUUUACUUACCUUUGUUGCUUUGGCGGGCCGUGGAGCGUCAGCCCCCCGUCGACUUCGGUGGACGAGUGCCCGUCCGAAGCCCCCAUCAACGCUUUGAAUAAAUGAAGUCUGAGUCUUAAUAAAUUUACGCAAAACUUUCAACAACGGAUCUCUUGGUUCUG